GUAGCCCUGCCCGCCGGCCAUGGGAGAGGCUUAAAACAAACGCCGGAAGCAACUCCCAGCCCCAGAAAGAUCUGUGACCGGCAGCGCCAGACCCGCCUGCCUUCCUGACUUCUGUUCCAGGGCAAAGGUCAUUUAGCCGCUUGAAUCAGCCUUUUUCCCCCCCCUUCCCCAACUUUGUUUACCAGAUAAGGAAGGUCAGCAUUCAAAGUCAAGAAGCGCCUCUUAUCUUCCCCUGCGUUCUACAAAUAGUUCCGUGAGAAAGAUGGCCGGGAACUCGAUCCUGCUGGCUGCUGUCUCUAUUCUCUCGGCCUGUCAGCAAAGUUAUUUUGCUUUGCAAGUUGGAAAGGCAAGAUUAAAAUACAAAGUUACACCCCCAGCAGUCACUGGGUCACCAGAGUUUGAGAGAGUAUUUCGGGCACAACAAAACUGUGUGGAGUUUUAUCCUAUAUUCAUAAUUACAUUGUGGAUGGCUGGGUGGUAUUUCAACCAAGUUUUUGCUACUUGUCUGGGUCUGAUGUACAUAUAUGGCCGUCACCUAUACUUCUGGGGAUAUUCAGAAGCUGCUAAAAAACGGAUCACUGGUUUCCGACUGAGUCUGGGGAUUUUGGCCUUGUUGACCCUCCUAGGUGCCCUGGGAAUUGCAAACAGCUUUCUGGAUGAAUAUCUGGACCUCAAUAUUGCCAAGAAACUGAGGCGGCAAUUCUAACUUUUUCUCUUCCCUUUAAUGCUUGCAGAAGCUGUUCCCAACAUGAAGGCACAGUUUCAAGAGGAAGAAGAGAAAAUGGAUAUCAUUUCAAGGAAUUGCCCAGGGACCAGUGCGAAGAGGAUAUUCUUUCUCUUGGCGGAGGAAGGUUCUCCUGUGAUCCUGGGAAAUGCUAGACCGUGAGCAUCUUGACAGAGGAUGUGAACUGCGACUUCCUCACAGGCAGCAGGCAGGUGCUGAAUAAGUGCUUGCUGAAUGAAUGAAUCACGCCAGGGCGCAUGUUACCUGUUCCGCCAAAAUCUGCUGCUGCUGCUGCUGCUGCUGCCUUUGCUCCCGCAGGAACUGUUGCUUCUGCUGCUCCAUCAACUGGGCCCGCUGAUCAAUGAGCAUCUGCUUCAUGAUGGCUGCUUGGGGCUGGCUGCCCAGGAAGCCAGGGCCUGCAGGACUGGCUCCUGAGACCAUGCCACCUGAGCCUGGGGGCACAGAGGACUGCAUGGGGCCUGUGGUUCGGGGAAGUCCAACUGGAUGCUGCUCCUGGGAGGACAAGAGAGAGAGACAUGAAGGGAUUCUCCAUGGAGACUCACUGCCAUUUGAAGGGAAGCCCCUGGAAAAAGGGAAUGGGGCGGAAGUCCCAGCUUAUGGACUGGAGGCAUUUUGAGUGGCACGCAUUGCAUUUCCAUAAAAGUAGCCUCAAACCCGACCUUACCUGAGUAGAAUGAGAGAGGCCACAAGGGACAGUAAGAGAGCAUGGCUCUGGGAAAUCCAAGCCCAACUCCAGUCUGUUUUGGAUGGGACCGACUAUUGCAUAUGGACAGGAUUUUCAACUAACAUCCUGUGUUCCUCCAAGGAAAGGGAAUGAGCCCUCAGGCUGAGCUCACCUAAAGUCUGGAACACCAGAGACAUCCUGACCUCACCUGUUAAUCCUUAUUUCUUACUGUUUACUUGGCCAAAAUGGACGUCUUCUUCGCAAGUAGGAGGGACAUUUGCAGAAAACUGCAGGAAUUUGUUAAUCAACAGAUCUGAUAUUUGAUGGAAUUCUAACGAGUUGCAACAUUUGAGAGCUAUAUAUAUGUCAAAAAGAAAAAUCCUGCUGGCCAGAGUUGUUGAUGGUGAGAACUGGGAAUGUUUUACACUAACCAAAGCUAUGUAAUCUCCUAAUAUCUUUAAAAAUAGAAUUGAGUCGGCCAGGUGCCGUGGCUCGUGCCUGUAAUCCCAGUACUUUGAGAGUCCCAGUACUUUGGGUGGAUCAUGAGAUCAGUUCAAGACCAGCUUGGCCAAGAUGGUGGAACCCUGUCUCUACUAAAAAAAAAAAAAAAAAAAA